UCCAGAAGCUCAUCCUAUUUUCAGGCCACAUUCUAUCGUUUGUUUUCCUGCCUUUGAUUUUAUGCAAUCCUCUCCAUCACCUUUCCACCUUUCCUGAUUUGCGCCUUCAAUUUCAGAUAAAGUUUCCAAAUUUUGCCUAAUAUCAUCUCUG